GACGAACGCUGGCGGCGUGCCUAAUACAUGCAAGUAGGACGCACAGUCUAUACCGUAGCUUGCUACACCAUAGGCUGUGAGUUGCGAACGGGUGAGUAACGCGUAGGUAACCUGCCUAUUAGAAGGGGAUAACUAUUGGAAACGAUAGCUAAUACCGCAUAACAGUAUGUAACACAUGUUAGAUGCUUGAAAGAUGCAAUUGCAUCGCUAGUAGAUGGACCUGCGUUGUAUUAGCUAGUAGGUAGGGUAAUGGCCUACCUAGGCGACGAUACAUAGCCGACCUGAGAGGGUGAUCGGCCACACUGGGACUGAGACACGGCCCAGACUCCUACGGGAGGCAGCAGUAGGGAAUCUUCGGCAAUGGGGGGAACCCUGACCGAGCAACGCCGCGUGAGUGAAGAAGGUUUUCGGAUCGUAAAGCUCUGUUGUUAAGGAAGAACGAGUGUGAGAAUGGAAAGUUCAUACUGUGACGGUACUUAACCAGAAAGGGACGGCUAACUACGUG
rnacentral:rRNA from 1 species